rnacentral:rRNA from 1 species
GACGAACGCUGGCGGCGUGCUUAACACAUGCAAGUCGAACGAUGAGGCCCAGCUUGCUAGGUGGAUUAGUGGCGAACGGGUGAGUAACACGUGAGUAACCUGCCCUGGACUCUGGGAUAACCCCGAGAAAUCGGAGCUAAUACCGGAUAGGACCUUUCCUCGCAUGGGGUUGGGUGGAAAGUUUUUCGGUUGGGGAUGGACUCGCGGCCUAUCAGCUUGUUGGUGAGGUAAUGGCUCACCAAGGCGUCGACGGGUAGCCGGCCUGAGAGGGUGACCGGCCACACUGGGACUGAGACACGGUCCAGACUCCUAGGGGAGGCAGCAGUGGGGAAUAUUGCACAAUGGGCGCAAGCCUGAUGCAGCAACGCCGCGUGCGGGAUGACGGCCUUCGGGUUGUAAACCGCUUUUAGUAAGGAAGAAGGGGCCUUUGGGUCUUGACGGUACUUGCAGAAAAAGGACCGGCUAACUACGUGCCAGCCGCCGCGGUAAUAC